GUACCCAUUAACCAUCUCCACUCCCCCCGUACCCCUUACCUUUCUCAGACUCUGGUAACCAUCAUUCUACUCUCUACCUCCAUGAGUUCAAUUGUUUCAAUGUUUAGGUUUUGUGAAUGAGUGAGAACAUGGAAGUUAGUGCUUCUGUGCAUUUAGCCUUUUCAUUUUUCAUGCUAUGGGUAUGUCAACAUGAGAGAGAAAGGGAAAUGGGAAGAAAGAGGAGGUGCAGACUCUGGGGGUCCCUCACCAGGGCACUAGCAGCAAAUGUUUGGUCUCAGGGCUGACUUGGAGUCAGAGGAUGCCAAAAUGGAAAAGCGACUGCCUGGAGAUGUUGGUUUUCCAAGACCUGAGAUAGGAACUAUGAAACCAAAAAGCAGGCACUGGAAAUCCUGCUACCUGCCAUUUUUUUGGAUCCCACUGCUGGCCUGAAUUUUUAGCUUGAACCAGUUUCCUUUCAGACAACUCAUCUUUUUUCUCUAUUCUCACCAUGGCUACAUUUCUCUCCUAUAACCACAGACCAUCAGAUUAAGGCUGGAGGGUACCCCAGAGACCAUCUCCUGCUACCUUCUAAAAUUAGAUGGGAAAAAUCUGGUCCCGAGGGGUGAUGACUUCUUCAAGGUCACACAGCAAGCUGGUGGAGAAGCUGAGACUAGACACCCAUCUACUGAAUUCCAGGCCAAAGCUGUCUUCUCUAAUGGAUAGCUGGUUCAAUCUGUGGAAUUCAGCAAAAGGUAACUUCUGCUGAAGCAGCUGCCUCCAAGUGUGCUCCAAGAGUAAUGGUGUGCAUCAAUUUGUCAGAGAAAAAUGGCAACGGAUAGAAUUCACAGCACUGAGAGAAGAAAUGUCAGAUAAACCUUCAAUUAGCCUUACUCUUCUGUAGGAAAACUGAAAUUAACAUAGCACAUAACACCAAAUUAUGAUUUGACUUGGAAGCUACAGUCAUCUACAUCUUCUGGGUUUUCUCCCUUCAUAAAUUCAGGUGUUUUUCUUUUUUUUUUUUUAAAUAAUAGAGUGUAAAAUUUUGAGACAGGUUUUCUAGGCAUUAUUUAAUCAUUCAAAGUUUUUUAAAAUCUAUAAUCCCUGAACCAGGCAAUAAAUAAUUGGUAAUUAUAAUUUGGAAUUUGCAAUAAAGUAUUUUAAGCAGAUCCUAUGGCAGGCAGCAAUGGGUAUGACUAGUAAUAAGGUGAUAGCCUCUGGUUGUAAAUUCCUGUGCCUCUGUUACUGUUUACAAUCUGUCCUUCGGCUGUCCUGUGGUAUAUUGCUAACUCAUUAUUUUUUUCAUUGACAUGUGCACGUGAGAAUACAGUGUUAAAAAAAUUUGGUGUUCCGGGCUGGGUGCAGUGUUUCAUGCCUGUAAUCCCAGCACCCUGGGAUGCCAAGGCCGGCGGAUCACCUGAGGUCGGGAAUUCAAGGCCAGCCUGGGCAACAUGGUGAAACCCCAUCUCUACUAAAAAAUACAAAAAUUAGCUGGGUGUGGUGGUGGUACCUGUAAUCCCCGCUACUCAGGAGGCUGAGGCAGGAGAAUUGCUUGAACCCAGGAGGUGGAGGCUGCACUGAGCUGAGAUUGCACCACUGUACUCCAGCCUGGGUGACAGAGCAAGACUCCAUCUAAAAAAAUUUAGUGUUCCGUACAUGGAGACUCCUCUCAACCAUAAAUGAGCUUUUCUCAUGAUUAAUGAUGUAAUUUACCAAUUAUUAACCCUAAACUGCUAUCCAGUAAUGUCAGUGAGUCCAAAUAAAGGUGGGUAAAGGUACUUAUCUUCUAUUUUGGUCCUUAGCACUUGAUGCUAAUAACUGAAUCUAUUUCUCAUGUCGUAAAAUGUAAAAAAAAAGAAUGGAAAGUAACUAAAAUGUCCCCAAAGAUCUAUAUGGCUUUAUAUUCUAGCUUUACUUGCUGCAACAUUAAAAUACAACUUCUAAAGUGGUUGUAAGUUUGAGUGUGGAGGCUCACACCUGUAAUCCCAACACUUUGAGAGGCUGAGGUGGGAGGAUUACUUGAGGCUAGGAGUUCAAGACCAGCCUGGGCAAUAUAGCAACACUCCAUCUCUAAAAAUAAAUAAGUAAUUAAAUAAGUAAAUAGCUUAGCAUGAUGGUGCACACUUGUAGUCUCAGCUACUGGGGGGUGAGGGUGGGGGGCAGGGCUGAGGUGGGAAGAUCACUUGAGCCCAGGAGUUCGAGGCUGCAGUAAGCUACGAUCACGCCACUGCACUCUUGCCUGGGCAACAGAGUGACACCCUGUCUCUAAAAUAAAAUAAAAUAAAUAAAAUAAAAUAAAAAUAAAGUGAUUCUAUAUUGUCAAUGUCCUCUGCCUAGGAAAUCGGAAACCUAGAAAGCAGAUUGGAGCAAGCAUCCACACAAGGAGUGUCCCACAAUUAUAGUGGAAUGAUGAACAAGGGGUAGGACAGCAUGGUGAUUCUAUGGACAAUCCUUCGAGGAAUGCCAUCUGUCUCACAGUGGUAGAAACACCAUUAUCUGUGAACUGUCCUGAUGGGAAGCCCAGAGUCUCAGGCAGGCCCCACUCACAGGUAGACCUGAACAGCCGAGUCAUGCUCUGGUCUCCACACAUCCUUACUGUGAGUUAUACAGGAACCCCAGGCUUCACUGGAAGCAGAGCAGCAAAGAAGGAGAGAAGAGAAGAAGCAGCUUAACAUCAGUGAGAAGCAGCUUGACUUCAGAGGGACGGCUUGAUGGUGGAAUCUCAGAGAGAGUUCAGCUGGGGACGGCCAGACUCCAGGAGAAGAUCACAUUCCCACUCCAUUCCCUUUCCAGCUCUCCAUCCCACUGACAGCCACUUUCAUCAGCAAUAAAAUCUCCUGAAUUUACCAUCUUCAACUCAUUUGUGUGACCCAAUUCUUCCUGGACACCGAACAAGAGCUCGAGAUACAGAGGGUUGUCACACUGAGCUGUUAAACACCUAAGCUGUCCACGGAUGGCAAAGCUAAAAGAGCACACUGUAAC
rnacentral:lncRNA from 10 species